GAUGAACGCUGGCGGCGUGCCUAAUACAUGCAAGUCGAGCGAACGGACGAGAAGCUUGCUUCUCUGAUGUUAGCGGCGGACGGGUGAGUAACACGUGGAUAACCUACCUAUAAGACUGGGAUAACUUCGGGAAACCGGAGCUAAUACCGGAUAAUAUUUUGAACCGCAUGGUUCAAAAGUGAAAGACGGUCUUGCUGUCACUUAUAGAUGGAUCCGCGCUGCAUUAGCUAGUUGGUAAGGUAACGGCUUACCAAGGCAACGAUGCAUAGCCGACCUGAGAGGGUGAUCGGCCAAACUGGAACUGAGACACGGUCCAGACUCCUACGGGAGGCAGCAGUAGGGAAUCUUCCGCAAUGGGCGAAAGCCUGACGGAGCAACGCCGCGUGAGUGAUGAAGGUCUUCGGAUCGUAAAACGCUGUUAUUAGGGAAGAACAUAUGUGUAGGUAACUGUGCACAUCUUGACGGUACCUAAUCAGAAAGCCACGGCUAACUACGU
rnacentral:rRNA from 1 species